CUGGAGCUCCAAAGUCUCAGUAAGGUUUACCUACAGACAAAACAAUUAUCUGAACAAACUCUGUAUUUUCUGGAGUGUGCUGCAUCACCUCUCCCCACGGCAUAGGAAGAGCCACAUAGCACUUUAAUUAUUUUCUUCCACAAGACAGGAAGCUCACUGCGAUUUUACAACCAAACAUGCUUAGUUGGCUUUUUGUUCAAUGCAGCCCUUAGCCUGCAGGUUGCAUCUAGUGCUAAAACAAAUAAAGAUCACAGAAGUUAGAAGUGCCUAUUAUGUCAAUAAAAUCCAAAUCCCUCGUAAUGCAGUAAUUGUUCCACGCAGCGUGUUUUCCAGUGCUUUGUCUGGUCUUGUUUUGAACAAUGGGGCAACCAUCACCUUCCUUAGACUAUUUAUGAGCUGAACAAUCCAACAGUUUUUCCUGAUCUGUAACCAAAGUUUCCACCUUUUAUGUCAGACACAUAUGCAAGCCCUCACAAAAACCCUCCUCUGUCAAGUUAAGCAUUGCAUCUCUAUAGAGCCCCUGAGAGCCUUUACAUAAAGCUCAAUACCAAGUUCAUCCAUCGACUCAUUUCAGGUUACAGCAACUGACAACUCCCUUCUGCACAGCCUCUGCAUUUUCCCCCAGCAACGAAAGAGAAAAACGCUCAGACAGGAUUACCCUGGGAUCAAGUAAGUUUUCACAGAGAAGAAGCACAGUUCUUAUUUGCAAAAAAGGGAGGCUCCCACCCAGCUUCAUUUUUGGCUGCCUGCUCAUGCGGUACCACCUCUGUAUUUUUUCCCCUUUAGCCUAUGACCUGUGCAAUUGUUAACACAGCGGCUCGGCUCGAUCUCAUCAAUAAAACCUAAGAAAAACAUAAUUAAAAAGGAACAGGUUCUCUGGAUCGGAAGCGGAUUUCAAUAAAACGGACCUUUUCGUGCCAUCGGCACAGGUGACAGAGCCCAACAGCGUCACCGCCGUGCAGAACCCCGCACACCAGCGGGGAAGAGGCCCAUUAUGUAGGUCACCUCGCCCACCCCUCCCGACGCUCAGUGCUCGCCAUCUGCUCGCUCCGGGGCGACGCGGCCGCUCCGGGCACUGAGCGCGCAGCACCGGGGCGGGAUUCCUCCUCCUCCCCGCCGCGUUAGGGACCCGGGCAGCCUCGAUCCUGCGAGACGCCGCGAUGCAGCGGCAGAGCCGAGCAGGCCGCCGGGUCUGCCGGGAGGCACACGGCGCUCAACGGGCUAGAAAGGAGAAUAAACUAACGAUGUGGAAAAAAGGGAAGAAGAGAGAAUCAAAUACCCAUAAAGAAAAGCAACCAGUAGUUGGAAUAUCAACCUUUUGUAAGAGUUUUUGAAUAAAGGAGAGAUUCCUCUCUCUGGAAGUCAGCAGAAUGAAAAGGACUUCGCAAAUUUUUGGAAAUUCAGCAAAUGUUUGUUCCUAUUUUCAAACAAUUCUGUUGAAAGCACUUUUGUUCAUCUACAAUAGCCGAUGGAGUGGUUUCAGCCUCUCCAAGGAGUGCUAGGAAUAGCGUGCCUCUUUGCAGUGCGUGGUGCUUGUGGGACAGCUGCAGUGGGGCCAGGGGUGGCUGGGGACAACAGGGAAGGAAGAAACAUUCGGGACAGAAGGGAAGAUCUGACAGACAGGAAAAGCACACGGGUCUGAGGAAUGGGGAAAUAGCUGAUGGAAAAACACCCGAACACUGACCCUGAAGAAUUUUCCUUUUGAAUAACUUCAUUCCUCUCAAAAGACGGAACAAACUGAGAGCACCUACACAGGGUGUGACCCUUGAUAGUUUAACUCUGAGUUCUUAUUUUCUAAUGUUGACUGCCUUCAGCAUCCUUCAUCUGACCUGCCAGAGCACUGGUGCCCAGGGGAUGAUGCUGAAGGACCAAGGCAUCAGCUGCAACCACCUGAGACCAAGCCUGAGCUCACCUGGACCUAAUUCCGACUGCAGUCUGUGGAGAGGAGACCUUUGGAGGACAUUCAAGGGCCUGGGCUGCCAGCUUUUCAAAAGAGAACCAGAGAUAUUGAAAUCAACUUCUGAAGUAUUUGUUUCAAGGAAGUAAAAACAUGUUGUUGCCAUA